GAUCGCCGUGCCAACUCCAUUCGCCGGUAUCUCUCCUCACAUUGUUCCAGAGAAUCCCAGGCGGGCUCCGACAUUCUCCCUGGGUCAACCGACCACCUCUCUAUUUCGUCCCAUGUUGUAACAUAGUCCAGAUCUUGCUGCUGCUGCUGCUGCCCGUUACCACGCUGCUUGGUCCUUUGGUGGUGGGUGGUUUUGUUACGGCUGUCUUGGGAAGAAGGUGAGGACCAAAGUGCAGGGUGACAGCCAGGAUGAGAGGUUCUGUCUCUGACUCACAGACAGCAAGGACGAGAGGUUCUGUCUCUGACACACAGACAGCCAGGAGGAGAGGUUCUGUCUCUGACUCACAGACAGCCAGGAGGAGAGGUUCUGUCUCUGACUCACAGAUGACCAGGAGGAGGAGAGGUUCUGUCUCUGACUCACAGACAGCCAGGAGGAGAGGUUCUGUCUCUGACUCACAGACGGCCAGGAGGAGAGGUUCUGUCUCUGACUCACAGACGGCCAGGAGGAGAGGUUCUCUGAUUUUUUCCAGACGGUUUCAGUCAAAAGAACAUAUCUUUCAAUACAUUUUGUUAAUUUGAUGCCCCCCUACUGGUGAACGUUGAACUGAAGACUUGAAAGAGUCAGGAUUCAAGAAACCUCUGGUUCUCAUGUCGUUCACCAUGGGGAGCUUAUUCAUUGGAGCGAUCAUUUGUGACUCAGCCUUGUGUAAUGUGUGCUUUUAAACAAUGUACAAUUUGUUGAUUGCUAGGCACACAAAUACAAUUAUUUCUUGAUACAUUUGAAACCAGAUAUAGUUCCGGCCACAACCGAACUAGAUCAUGAACAACUUUAGGCGAAUGUCACGCCCUGACAUUCGAGAUCCUUUUUAUGUCUCUAUUUUGGUUUUGGUCAGGGCGUGAGUUGGGGUGGGCAUUCUAUAUUUUAUGUUUCUGUGAUUUUCUAUUUCUAUGUUUUGGCCGGGUAUGGUUCUCAAUCAGGGACAGCUGUCUAUCGUUGUCUCUAAUUGGGAACCAUACUUAGGUACCCUUUUUCCCACCUGUGUUUGUGGGAAGUUGACUUUCUUUAUGGCACUUAGCCUUAAGCGUCACUGUUUUGUAGUGUGAGUUGUUUUGUUCGGCGUAUGUUCUUAAUUAAAGAUCAUGUACGCUCA